rnacentral:rRNA from 1 species
UACGGGGGGGGUAAGCGUUGUUCGGAAUUACUGGGCGUAAAGGGCUCGUAGGCGGCCAACUAAGUCAGACGUGAAAUCCCUCAGCUUAACUGGGGAACUGCGUCUGGUACUGGAUGGCUUGGAUUCGGGAGAGGAAUGCGGAAUUCCAGGUGUAGCGGUGAAAUGCGUAGAUAUCUGGAGGAACACCGGUGGCGAAGGCGGCAUUCUGGACCGAUAUUGACGCUGAGGAGCGAAAGCCAGGGGAGCAAACGGG